CCAUAUUCCACUGUCCAGCACUCUGCCACAAAACCAGACUUUCUUCCAGCAAAUUUCUUAUCUGCAACAUAGGAAUAACAAAUGGAGAUGCUGGCCUGCUUAUAAAAUUACUGAGCAUGUGCGGUGCCAAAAGCAAAGUGGCCACCACACAUGCUCAAAUGGUCCCUGUGAGGCCUUAAACCUUGCCAGGCCUCGUAGAGGCCAUUUGAGCAUGUGCAGCAGCCUCCAAAAUGGCCACCGCACCAAUUUUUGCAAGCUGGAAGGGGCUGAAAAUCAUCCCGGGAUGGGCAGUGGCAGUGAUUUAAGCGGGGAGGAGGAAACUUUGCAGACCACCACCACCCCGCAGCCUUUAGGAAGCCCCCCAAAGGGGCUACAGAUGUGUUUGGUUUCAUGAGGGUGAACAGGCAGCACGCCAAGUGGAGAACAUGUCUCCUCUGCAAUCGCAUGUGAGCCAAGAUAUUAUCCUGAUGCUUAAAAAUGCAUGAGCUUUUGUUUUUUUUUUAAAUAACCCUGAAAAUUAAAACCAUUCUCCACACAC